rnacentral:rRNA from 1 species
UACGUAGGGUGCAAGCGUUGUCCGGAAUUAUUGGGCGUAAAGAGCUCGUAGGCGGUCUGUCGCGUCGGCUGUGAAAACCUGGGGCUCAACCCCAGGCCUGCAGUCGAUACGGGCAGACUAGAGUCCGGCAGGGGAGACUGGAAUUCCUGGUGUAGCGGUGAAAUGCGCAGAUAUCAGGAGGAACACCGGUGGCGAAGGCGGGUCUCUGGGCCGGAACUGACGCUGAGGAGCGAAAGCUAGGGUAGCAAACGGG